AUACGUAGGGGGCGAGCGUUGUCCGGAAUUACUGGGCGUAAAGGGCGUGUAGGCGGUUUAUCAAGUCAGGUGUGAAAUUCCAGGGCUCAACCCUGGGCGUGCACUUGAAACUGGUAGGCUUGAGUGCAGGAGAGGAAAGUGGAAUUCCCAGUGUAGCGGUGAAAUGCGUAGAUAUUGGGAGGAACACCAGUGGCGAAGGCGACUUUCUGGCCUGUAACUGACGCUGAGGCGCGAAAGCUAGGGGAGCAAACAGGAUUAGAUACCCUGGUAGUCCUAGCCGUAAACGAUGGGUACUAGGUGUAGGGGGUUUAGACGCCCUCUGUGCCGCAGUUAACACAUUAAGUACCCCGCCUGGGGAGUACGGCCGCAAGGCUGAA
rnacentral:rRNA from 1 species